UGGGGAAUAUUGCACAAUGGGCGCAAGCCUGAUGCAGCCAUGCCGCGUGUGUGAAGAAGGCCUUCGGGUUGUAAAGCACUUUCAGCGGGGAGGAAGGCGAUAAGGUUAAUAACCUUGUCGAUUGACGUUACCCGCAGAAGAAGCACCGGCUAACUCCGUGCCAGCAGCCGUGGUAAUACGGAGGGUGCAAGCGUUAAUCGGAAUUACUGGGCGUAAAGCGCACGCAGGCGGUUGAUUGAGUCAGAUGUGAAAUCCCCGGGCUCAACCUGGGAACUGCAUUCGAAACUGGCAGGCUAGAGUCUUGUAGAGGGGGGUAGAAUUCCAGGUGUAGCGGUGAAAUGCGUAGAGAUCUGGAGGAAUACCGGUGGCGAAGGCGGCCCCCUGGACAAAGACUGACGCUCAGGUGCGAAAGCGUGGGGAGCAAACAGG
rnacentral:rRNA from 1 species